rnacentral:rRNA from 1 species
AUUGAACGCUGGCGGCAUGCUUUACACAUGCAAGUCGAACGGCAGCGCGGGCUUCGGCCUGGCGGCGAGUGGCGAACGGGUGAGUAAUGCAUCGGAACGUGCCCAGUAGUGGGGGAUAGCCCGGCGAAAGCCGGAUUAAUACCGCAUACGACCUGAGGGUGAAAGCGGGGGACCGAAGGGCCUCGCGCUAUUGGAGCGGCCGAUGUCGGAUUAGCUAGUUGGUGGGGUAAAGGCUUACCAAGGCGACGAUCCGUAGCUGGUCUGAGAGGACGACCAGCCACACUGGGACUGAGACACGGCCCAGACUCCUACGGGAGGCAGCAGUGGGGAAUGUUGGACAAUGGGGGCAACCCUGAUCCAGCCAUGCCGCGUGCGGGAAGAAGGCCUUCGGGUUGUAAACCGCUUUUGUUCGGGAAGAAAUCCUCUGGGCUAAUACCCCGGGGGGAUGACGGUACCGGAAGAAUAAGCACCGGCUAACUACGUG